CACCUCUCAGGGUUGCACCUGGAGAGUUUCCAGUACUCUACCAGUCUAGACUAUGGGAGGGAGAGUCAAGCAGAGGUCUGCUCAUUCCAUUCCUAGCCCGGGCAGUGGCUAGUGAGUGGAAGAAAAUCUUCUCCAAGU